AACGAACGCUGGCGGCAUGCCUAACACAUGCAAGUCGAACGAGACCUUCGGGUCUAGUGGCGCACGGGUGCGUAAAGCGUGGGAACCUGCCCUUAGGUUCGGAAUAACUCCCCGAAAGGGGUGCUAAUACCGGAUAAUGUCUUCGGACCAAAUAUUUAUCGCCUUUGGGUGGGCCCGCGUUGGAUUAGCUAGUUGGUAGGGUAAAAGCCUACCAAGGCGACGAUCCAUAGCUGGUCUGAGAGGAUGAUCAGCCACACUGGGACUGGGACACGGCCCAGAAUCCUACGGGAGGCAGCAGUGGGGGAUAUUGGACAAUGGGGGGAAGCAUGAUCCAGCAAUGCCGGGUGAGUGAUGAAGGCCUUAGGGUUGUAAAGCUCUUUUACCCGGGAUGAUAAUGACAGUACCGGGAGAAUAAGCUCCGGCUAACUCCGCG
rnacentral:rRNA from 1 species